rnacentral:lncRNA from 1 species
CUUUCUUGUGCUACACUGAAAAUUCAGGUUGUGUGUCAUCAAAAUAUUUAUUUCACUGUUUAAUUGUUUGCAGAGCAAGAAAAACGUUUUGUAAAACAGUGUCUGAAGAUAGCACAACGAUUUGCAGGUAAUUGCAAGGGGAACAAUUUAAGGUGAUUUCAUGUUUGCCACCUCUAUUCUGUGGGAUUCUAGUGAGAAUAAUCUGUAAGACACAUGUGAACCAGGAAGAUGGCUUCAUAGUGGAC